UAAGAAAAAGAAUCACUACUAUUAUCAUUACAUGUAUGAUACUCAAUCUGGUUGGAAUAAUCACAUUAAUAGUUGCAUUGAUAGUUAUCUUCGUUUUGAAGUCAGUAUUAAUAGUUCUAUUUCGGGUAGUACCAACAAUUACAGUGACAGUUACUUUUAUAACUUCAUUUGUACUGAAAAUAGAAAUAGUAGUGAGAGCGGUAGGUCUAGUAAAAGAACUAGAAAAAAUUUCAAUGAUUUCCAUGAAGAGGUGGAAUCCGAUUUCCAUGAAGAAGUAGAAUUCCACGAAGAAGUAGAAUCCGACUUCCAUGAAGAAGUAGAAUCCGAUUUCCAUGAAGAAGUAGAAUUCCACGAAGAAGUAGAAUCCAAUGAUUUCAAUGAAGAAGUAGAAUCUGAUUUCAAUGAAGAAGUGGAAUCCGAUUUCAAUGAAGAAGUGGAAUCCGAUUUCAAUGAAGAAGUGGAAUCCGAUUUCAAUGAAGAAGUGGAAUCCGAUUUCAAUGAAGAAGUAGAAUUCCAUGAAGAAGUAGAAUUCCAUGAAGAAGUAGAAUCCGACUUCCAUGAAGAAGUAGAAUCCAAUGAUUUCAAUAUAAAUCAAAAAUACAAACAUUUAUGGGUUCAAUGCGAAAAUUGUUAUGGAUUAAAUUAUAAAAAAUUUUUUAAGUCAAAAAUGAAUAUUUGUGAACAGUGUGGAUAUCAUUUGAAAUGAGUAGUUCAGAUAGAAUUGAACUUUCGAUUGAUCCCGGAACUUGGGAUCCUCUGGAUAAAGAUAUGAUAUCUAUAGACCCCAUUGAUUUUCGUUCAAAAGAGGAACCUUAUGGAGAUCGUAUCGAUUCUUAUCAAAGAAGGACAGGUUUAGCUGAUGCUAUUCAAACAGGCAUAGGUCAAAUAAAUGGUAUUCCCGUAGCAAUUGGCGUUAUGGAUUUUCAGUUUAUGGGAGGUAGUAUGGGAUCCGUAGUAGGCGAGAAAAUUACUCGUUUGAUCGAGUAUGCUACUAAUCGAUCUCUACCUGUCAUUAUUGUGUGUGCUUCUGGAGGAGCACGCAUGCAAGAAGGAAGUUUGAGCUUGAUGCAAAUGGCUAAAAUAUCUUCUGCUUCAUCUAAUUAUCAAUCAGAUAAAAAGUUAUUCUAUGUAUCAAUUCUUACAUCUCCUACAACUGGUGGAGUAACAGCCAGUUUUGGUAUGUUGGGGGAUAUCAUUAUUGCUGAACCUAACGCCUACAUUGCAUUUGCGGGUAAAAGAGUAAUUGAACAAACAUUAAAAAAGGUAAUACCUGAAGGUUCACAAGUGUCUGAGUAUUUAUUCCAUAAAGGUUUAUUCGACCCAAUAGUACCACGUAAUCUUUUAAAAGGUGUUCUGGGUGAGUUAUUUCAGCUCCACGGUUUCUUUCCCUUGAAUCCAAGUUCAAAAAUGUAAAGUAUAGCACUAGAUUCAGUUAUUUUAUUUGUAGCGAACAAGUAUUUAAUUCGUCGUAAUCAGGUGUUUUCUUUGGUGACAUAAGUUCUCCUUGUAAUAAGAGACAGAGGUUUCGGAUAAUUUUUAUUUUAUAUUUUAUUAUAUUUUAUUUAUUAUAUUUUAGAAUAUAGAAUAUAUAGUUUUAGAAUAUAGAAUAUAUAGUUUCUAUCUAGUCAUUUUCUAUCUAAUCAUAUAGAAUUAUAGUUGAUAUUACUUAUUACUUAUAAAUAAAUAUUAUAAAUAAAUAAUAUUUAUUAUAAUUUUUUAUAAUAUAUUUAUAAUAUAAUAAUGGCUUGAUAUAAUAUAAUAAUGGCUUGAUAUUACUUAUAAUAGAUAUAUCAUAAGUAAUAGAUAUAUCAUAAGAAGAUAUCUUUCUAAUAGAUAGAAAUAUUAAAACAGAUAGAAAUAUUAAAUUGAGGCACCUAUUCUAUGACAGAUCCCAACUUACCCUCUAUUUUUGUGCCUUUAGUGGGCCUAGUAUUUCCGGCAAUUGCAAUGGUUUCCUUAUUUCUUCAUGUCCAAAAAAAUAAGAUUGUCUAGACCCAAUGGGACCGAAUCUUAUCAAUUUAUUUCAACACUGGAUGAUAAUACAGAUAUUUAUCUCGUGUAAUAUGGUAUGAUAUGUGGCUCUUUCCGAACACACAAAUGAAAGAAUCGUUAUGCGGAUAUAUGAUAUCUGCAUAAAUGCAUGUAUAUGUGAAUAUAGCUGGUUCAAAAUGGAUUAGUGAAUAUUUUAAAUAGAAAGUCAAUGUAUCUAACCAAUUACUCUCCUAAUGUUUCACAUCAGAAUAGUGCUAGUUGAUGAAAGUUACUUCGGGAUCAAGAAAGGUAAAGUCAAAUUUAUUUGGGUUAUUCGCUCAAUUCCAAUCGAAUGCACUGGAUCUAGUAUAGUAUGAAUUGGCGAUCAGAACAUAUAUGGAUAGAACUUAUAACGGGGUCUCGAAAAACGAGUAAUUUUUGCUGGGCCUGUAUCCUUUUUUUAGGUUCACUAGGAUUCUUAGUGGUUGGAACUUCCAGUUAUCUUGGUAGGAAUUUGAUACCCGUAUUUACAUCUCAGCAAAUCAUUUUUUUUCCACAAGGGAUCGUGAUGUCUUUCUACGGGAUCGCGGGUCUAUUCAUUAGCUCGUAUUUGUGGUGCACAAUUUCGUGGAAUGUAGGUAGCGGUUAUGACCGAUUCGAUAGAAAAGAAGGAAUAGUGUGUAUUUUUCGCUGGGGAUUUCCUGGAAUAAAUCGUCGCAUCUUCCUUCGCUUCUUUAUGAGAGAUAUCCAAUCAAUCAGAAUAGAGGUUAAAGAGGGUCUUUAUACUCGUCGUGUCCUUUAUAUGGAAAUCAGAGGCCAAGGAGCCAUUCCCUUGACUCGUACUGAUGAGAAUUUUACUCCACGAGAAAUUGAACAAAAAGCUGCCGAAUUGGCCUAUUUCUUGCGCGUACCAAUUGAAGUAUUUUGAAACGAACUGAAGUGAAGAAUAAAAUGAAGAAUAAAUAUUUUCUCAAGAUGGGGGAAGGAACUUGCUAAUUCCUCUUUUAAUACAACUGAAGUUUCUUCAUUCUUUUAUACUAGAAAAAGGUCUAAUCUAACUAACGAAUCUAAUCUAAUAAGUAUAGAUAUAAAUUCAUCAAACCUAUCCGAACAUGUAUUUCGUAAUACAGAAUUCAUCUUUUUAGGCCCAAGAUUUGGAAUUGAUACCCUUUUCUGGUUAGACGGUGAAACAUUUCGAAAGAAUUAAUUGAUCCAGGGGGAGUUUUUUCGUCUCGAAACUCGAUUCGUUACUUCAAGUGGGUUUUCGAGUAUUCAUCGAAAGGAACAAAUGAAAAUAAAAUUGGUUCAAAUUUGCCCAAUUGAGAUAUCUGGAAUAAUAUUUAUUUCUUUUUUUCUCAUUUUCAUCCGAAAAGAACUCUUAUUCUAUGUCUAUAUUCCUUCUAAAUCAAAAAAAAAAUAAAAUUAUUACACAAUAAUAGGAAAGGAAUAGACCCAUAGGUCAAUACCUUGUUAUACAACUCGUGCUUCAAAGAAAUAUCAGAUCAGAUAGAGUCAACGAAUGAAGCAGGUUCAUUAACAAUUCAAUUCACAGAAAAAAAAAAAUGAAAAAAAAGAAAGCA